GUGAAUUAAUGUGAACUGCCCAAAGCUUUGAACAUCGACAUCUUGAACGCACAUUGCGGCCAUGGGUUUUCCUGUGGCCACGCCUGUCCGAGGGUCG
rnacentral:rRNA from 1 species